UUUUUGAUUUUUUUUUUGAUAGA
rnacentral:sRNA from 1 species